rnacentral:rRNA from 1 species
CAGAGGUCCCAAGCGUUGUUCGGAUUUACUGGGCGUAAAGGGUGCGUAGGCGGUCGGGUAAGUCUGAUGUGAAAUCUCUGGGCUCAACCCAGAAAAGGCAUUGGAUACUAUUCGGCUAGAGAGUUGGAGGGGGGACUGGAAUACUUGGUGUAGCAGUGAAAUGCGUAGAUAUCAAGUGGAACACCAGUGGCGAAGGCGAGUCCCUGGACAACUUCUGACGCUGAGGCACGAAAGCUAGGGGAGCAAACAGGAUUAGAUACCCUGGUAGUCCUAGCUGUAAACGGUGCUUAUUUGCUGUAAAAGGAAUCGACCCCUUUUGUGGCGUAGCAAACGCGUUAAAUAAGCCGCCUGGGAAGUACGGUCGCAAGAUUA